rnacentral:rRNA from 1 species
CAUGUAGGCGGAUUAAUAAGUUUGAAGUGAAAUCCUAUAGCUUAACUAUAGAACUGCUUUGAAAACUGUUAAUCUAGAAUGUGGGAGAGGUAGAUGGAAUUUCUGGUGUAGGGGUAAAAUCCGUAGAGAUCAGAAGGAAUACCGAUUGCGAAGGCGAUCUACUGGAACAUUAUUGACGCUGAGAUGCGAAAGCGUGGGUAGCGAACA